rnacentral:lncRNA from 1 species
GCCCACCUCUCCACCGCUUGCCUUUCUGCUGCCGCACAUUGCCCCCCUUCUUUUUUUCUUCUCCACACAUCUCUCUGUGCCUCACCUCUCCACUACUACAUGCCACCUCCUUUUUCCUCCUCCUCUGGACCACCCCCUCUCUGUUACUUGGACCCACCACCAAAUGUCGCCCCUUUCUUCCUCCUUUGCCCACCAAUCCACCAAUUGAGCCUACCGCUGCACACCACCCUCUUCCUCCUCUUCUUCCUCCU